rnacentral:rRNA from 1 species
AGAGUUUGAUCAUGGCUCAGGACGAACGCUGGCGGCGUGCCUAAUACAUGCAAGUUGAACGAUGAUUUCUGGUACUUGUAUCAGAAUGAAGAGUAGCGAACGGGUGAGUAACGCGUGGGUAACCUACCUCUUAGCGGGGGACAACUAUUGGAAACGAUAGCUAAUACCGCAUAACAAUAUUAAACACAUGUUUAAUAUUUGAAAGUACCAAUUGGUACACUAGGAGAUGGACCCGCGUUGUAUUAGCUAGUUGGUAGUGUAAUGGACUACCAAGGCGAUGAUACAUAGCCGACCUGAGAGGGUGAUCGGCCACAUUGGGACUGAGACACGGCCCAAACUCCUACGGGAGGCAGCAGUAGGGAAUCUUCGGCAAUGGACGAAAGUCUGACCGAGCAACGCCGCGUGAGUGAAGAAGGUUUUCGGAUCGUAAAACUCUGUUGUUAGAGAAGAACGUUGUGUAGAGUGGAAAAUUACACAAGUGACGGUAUCUAACCAGAAAGGGACGGCUAACUACGUGCCAGCAGCCGCGGUAAUACGUAGGUCCCGAGCGUUGUCCGGAUUUAUUGGGCGUAAAGCGAGCGCAGGUGGUUUAAUAAGUCUGAUGUAAAAGGCAGUGGCUCAACCAUUGUGUGCAUUGGAAACUGUUAGACUUGAGUGCAGUAGAGGAGAGUGGAAUUCCAUGUGUAGCGGUGAAAUGCGUAGAUAUAUGGAGGAACACCGGUGGCGAAAGCGGCUCUCUGGACUGUAACUGACACUGAGGCUCGAAAGCGUGGGUAGCAAACAGGAUUAGAUACCCUGGUAGUCCACGCCGUAAACGAUGAGUGCUAGUUGUUUGGGGCUAUCCAGCCCUAAGUGACGCAGC